rnacentral:rRNA from 1 species
UACGUAGGGUGCAAGCGUUAAUCGGAAUUACUGGGCGUAAAGCGUGCGCAGGCGGUGAUGUAAGACAGUUGUGAAAUCCCCGGGCUCAACCUGGGAACUGCAUCUGUGACUGCAUUGCUGGAGUGCGGCAGAGGGGGAUGGAAUUCCGCGUGUAGCAGUGAAAUGCGUAGAUAUGCGGAGGAACACCGAUGGCGAAGGCAAUCCCCGUGGGCCUGCACUGACGCUCAUGCACGAAAGCGUGGGGAGCAAACAGG